rnacentral:rRNA from 1 species
AGCCCAGAGAAAUUUGGAUUAAUAUCUUAUGUGAUAUGUGACUGGCAUCGGUUACAUAUUAAAGGUUACGGUAAGAGAUGAGCAUGCGUCUCAUUAGUUAGUUGGUAAGGUAACGGCUUACCAAGACUUCGAUGAGUAGGGGUCCUGAGAGGGAGAUCCCCCACACUGGUACUGAGACACGGACCAGACUCCUACGGGAGGCAGCAGUGAGGAAUAUUGGANCAAUGGACGGAAGUCUGAUCCAGCCAUGCCGCGUGUAGGAAGACUGCCCUAUGGGUUGUAAACUACUUUUAUACAGGAAGAAUAAGAUCUACGUGUAGAUUGAUGACGGUACUGUAAGAAUAAGGACCGGCUAACUCCGUGCCAGCAGCCGCGGUAAUACGGAGGGUCCGAGCGUUAUCCGGAAUUAUUGGGUUUAAAGGGUCCGUAGGCGGGCUGUUAAGUCAGAGGUGAAAUGCUGCGGCUCAACCGUAUGCACUGCCUUUGAUACUGGCGGUCUUGAGUUAUAGUGAAGUGGCUAGAAUAAGUAGUGUAGCGGUGAAAUGCAUAGAUAUUACUUAGAAUACCGAUUGCGAAGGCAGGUCACUAACUAUACACUGACGCUGAUGGACGAAAGCGUGGGUAGCGAACAGGAUUAGAUACCCUGGUAGUCCACGCCGUAAACGAUGGAUACUAGCUGUUCGGUUUUCGGACUGAGCGGCCAAGCGAAAGUGAUAAGUAUCCCACCUGGGGAGUACGUUCGCAAGAAUGAAACUCANAGGAAUUGACGGGGGCCCGCACAAGCGGUGGAGCAUGUGGUUUAAUUCGAUGAUACGCGAGGAACCUUACCAGGGCUUAAAUGUAGAUUGACAGGUUUAGAGAUAGACUUUUCUUCGGACAAUUUACAAGGUGCUGCAUGGUUGUCGUCAGCUCGUGCCGUGAGGUGUCAGGUUAAGUCCUAUAACGAGCGCAACCNCUGUCGUUAGUUGCCAGCAUGUAAUGAUGGGGACUCUAACGAGACUGCCGGUGCAAACCGUGAGGAAGGUGGGGAYGACGUCAAAUCAUCACGGCCCUUACGUCCUGGGCCACACACGUGCUACAAUGGUCGGUACAGAGAGCAGCCACUUAGCGAUAAGGAGCGAAUCUAUAAAACCGAUCACAGUUCGGAUCGGAGUCUGCAACUCGACUCCGUGAAGCUGAA